UGAGGAAUAUUGGUCAAUGGACGCAAGUCUGAACCAGCCAAGCAGCGUGCAGGAUGACGGCCCUAUGGGUUGUAAACUGCUUUUAUAUGGGGAUAAAGUGGGGAACGUGUUCCCUUUUGCAGGUACCAUAUGAAUAAGGACCGGCUAAUUCCGUGCCAGCAGCCGCGGUAAUACGGAAGGUUCGGGCGUUAUCCGGAUUUAUUGGGUGUAAAGGGAGCGUAGGCCGUUUGGUAAGCGUGUUGUGAAAUGUAGGAGCUCAACUUCUAGAGUGCAGCGCGAACUGUCAGGCUUGAGUGCGCACAACGUAGGCGGAAUUCAUGGUGUAGCGGUGAAAUGCUUAGAUAUCAUGAAGAACUCCGAUUGCGAAGGCAGCUUACGGGGGCGCAACUGACGCUGAAGCUCGAAGGUGCGGGUAGCGAACAGG
rnacentral:rRNA from 1 species